CAUCAGACUGCACCUAGCAAAUUCACUUCCAAGGCACAAGUCUGGGCAUGGUUUUUUUGUGGAAGACCAGUAGUUGCCUAUGCAUACCAGUCUCCCCUCUUCAUGCCACCAAUAUUGUCCAAAGGAAAGGCAAAGGCCAACUUGGCACCAAUGACAUCACAACUCAUUUCUAUAGCUGAGUGAACUGGAGCAACAACUUGAGGUAUGGCAUCAAUACUUAUUUAAAUGUCUUUAUUAAUCUUUAUUUGUUACUAAGAGGAAUACAUUUCUCACCCAAUAAUCAUUAUUCAAUCACAUUCCCUUCAUACCAGUGUAGUCGUCUCUUCAGUAAAUAUUGUCAAAUAUAUUUAAUGCAGUAUUACUACACAAUUAUGCAAAUUAACAAGACAAUCACAAAUGAUCACCCAAGACAUUUAGUCUCUAAUUUCUGUAGGUCUUCUGUGUUGAACAAAUAUGUCUUACAACCAUACUGUGAAGCAUUACAUUUCUUUUACAUGAUUGCAAUAGAUUAAGAAUAUAUUAUGUUCAGCAUAUUAUACACCUCACUGUUGACUUUGUAAUCCAAAUUCAUGUCACUGACUCCAUAGUUUCUCUUAGUUCCUUUUCGUUUUAAUCAAUGUGUGCAUGCAUGCACACACACAUUUGUGUGUGCACGCGCACGCGUGUGUUUCCCUGCAUUUACACUUCUCUGAAUAUUAUUUAGCUAAAAGUUGUGUGUAAUGUCAUUUUGUCUUGCUUGUGAACAGAUUAGUCACUGGUUCUGUAAUUUCAAAGAGGUGUCGAAUAAGAAAUUUGUUAUUCGAAAAUCUGUUAUGGAUUAGUGACAGGAAGGGCAUCCAUCUGUAAAACAAUAACUAAAAAAUAUAUUCAUCUAACCCAUGCUAGCAUAGAAAAACAAAUGCAUAAAUGAACAAACACAUAUAUAUGAAUACAGAAAAAGUGGUUAACACUACCUACUUUUUGUGUGUAGGGAGAAACUGUUUUUCACUCUAGAGUAAACGUCCCCUAAAUGUCUUAGACUAAAUUUAUAUACUUAUCUCUAUAACUACUUCUGGCAUGAAUUUGGUCAUCCAAAUAAUGAAAACUGCCUACAGCUUUUAGUGAACCAUCUGGGCAAAUCAAAGACUUUGUUUUUCAGGGAGUAUUCUAUGCAUCACCCAGGGAAUCUCUUGCAUAUUUUGUGCAUACAUUGUUUCUUAUUAAGGACAAUAUUUAAAUUUUAUUGUCCUAUUGUAUAUGAAGCAGGGCCACUGCUCAGAUGACAUUUUGUGAUUUCUGAUAUAAUUGGUCUUUUUGUCUUUAACAUAUUGAGAUUUAGGUUCUGAAAUUAUUUAUACUUCCUAGUUUGGAUCUGUACUUUGAGCACUUUGAUGGAUAUUGCUAUGAGAGCCAAGUUAUCAACAUGAUUAAUAUUGUAUUUUUUCAUUAAGAAUAUUUCAACUUCUGACUUACACACACUGUCUCUUCACUUUAUCUUUCAUACUGGUAUUAUUUAUGACCUUUGGUCCUCUGAGAAGCUUCACUUAAUCCAAUUCAUCCUUCCUCUCCUCAUUACCCAUAUUAUGUUCCUAUCUUCCCACUUCAGACUCUACUCUAAUACUUACCCAAUCCUUUUUUCCAAGCGAGUUAUCCUUCUAGAAUACCCUCUUCACCCAUGUUUCUCCUGCUGUCAUUAAAUUACAAUCAUUCAAAAAGAGCAUCAACCUUAUCAAGCUCACCAAUCUUGGAAGGUCUGAAAAGAUCAUGAAUGUAGUCCUUUCCUUCUAACCAAAUCAUUAAAAAAGAAAAAAGUCAAUAUUCUUUUCUGUAAUGAAAAAAGUCUAAGUAUAUUGAACAUAUAUAUUUUAUUCAUACUAGAAAGAGAAGACAAGUAAAGAUGGUUCAGCUAAGUUGAUCUCAGAACAGUAAAGCAUCCAGUUUGUCAACUUUACCUUGUUGUCUCCACUGCCCUGUGAGGAAGAUUCACAUAGAUCUGAACUUAAAAAGUUCCUUUCAAACCUGAGCAAGAUACUUUCUAAGGAAUAUCAGAACUUAGUAUCAGUGAUGGAAUGACAAAAUGUUCUUUGGUGGCCAGUUCCAUUCCCUCAGUUCUGAGUUUAAAUUUUGCAGCCAGAAUUCAUUUUCAUCUCUAUAUUUCCCUUUCUUUCCAGAUUUCUGGUUCUGUUCUACUGCACAGUACCUUGAGCAAGUGUUUUCUUCUAUAGUCCCAGGUCGACCAACGCCUCAUCAUUGAAUGUGGUAGACAGAAACCGUGUGGGAGUCCAUCGUGUGUUUGUGUGUGUGUGCUCGACAACCGGUGUUGGUUUGUUUACGUCUCUAAUUUAGCGGUUCGACAAAAGAGAUGAUAGCAUGAGUACCAAAUUCAAAAAAAAAAAGUACUGGGGUCGACUCGUUCGACUAAACCCUUUAAGGUGGUGUCCCAGCAUGGCCGCAGUCCAAUGACUGAAAAGAGUAAGAGAUAAAGAAUAUGGUACGCAUUAUUGAAAUAUAAAUUGACCUCAGUACUUGACAAAAACAUAUUUUAUCAUUUACUUCCAAGAGGAAUGAAAAUAAAAGUUGACCUUGGUGUAAUUUGAACUCAGAACAUAAUAAAUGGUCGCAACUAAAUGCCACAUGUUAUUUUGUCUGAUGCGCUAUCGAUUUUGUCAACCCAAAUUCCCACAUUAAUAUUUAUAUAUAAGCAUUCACUGAUGCAGUCAUUCUUUCUCUCACCUUUUACUUUACAUCUCUCGCAUUCCUAUGAUUGUCUAUCUAUCCGUUUGUUUCAUUGUUUCUACGCCUGUCCAUGUGUCUUAUUCAUCUAUUUCUGAUAGGGUUACCUCCAUGAGAGGGUUAAGGAGGCCACUCACACAAGGAAGGACUCACUACAUUUGUCACUCCGCUACGCCGUAAUGUUCUUUCACGGUUCUGUCAACUUAUCUCUUUCUUUUUGCCAUUCAUUCCAUCCAUCCAUCUAUCCAUUCCUUUCUGUUUCGAUGGAUGUGGUGGGCGUUGUCAUUAUUCAUGUUUGAUUUACAUGGCUUAAUCACAGUUCUACAAAAACCUAGGAUUAUUAUUUACCAUCUCCGAAGAAUUGAAAGCUUAUGAAAGUUGAGGCCAGGAAAUCAAGUUCCAUUCGAUGUAGGAAGCAAGAACUUCAUAUUAACCUUCAAGGCAAAGAGGAAUUAACAGCGAAUUGAAACAAUACGGACUUUGAUCAAGGUUGAGUCCUGCGAGAAGCUUCUCUUCAAUUUGACUUGUUGAAUGAAUGCAACUGGAUAUAAGUGGUAUAUUAGGAAAGGAAAUGAAAAAAAAAUAAUAAUAAUAAAUAAAUAAAUGAAAUGAAUACCAUUAUGGAAAGGAAAAAAGAACUAAAAUCGCAAAACGUAAACACGCACAUACGCAUACACACACAAUCAAGUAUAUACAUAAUGAGAUACUAAUUAUAACAAUAUGUACAGGAGAGACAGAGAAGGAAGGAUGAUUACACUGAGAAAAGGAGAUACAAAAGGAGAAAAAGUCGAGGAAACAGAAAUGUAUAACAAAGAAUAGAAUAGAGAAAGAGCGAAAAAGGAGAAUGGAUCUAAGGAAUGAAAGAAAAAGAAACAAUAAAUCAAGGAAGAAAUUAUAAUGACAAUAACACAGGCACACACAAGAUAGAUAGAUAGAUAGAUUAGAUAGAUAGAUAGACAGAUAUAUAGAUAGAUAGAUAGAUAGAUAGAUAGAUAGAUAGAUAGAUAGAUAGAUAGAUAGAUAGUCGUGGUGAUAUGAUGAUGAUGAUGAUGAUGGUAAAGGAAGAAGCAGUGUAAGAAAAGACAAGAUACAGGGUCGCUUGAUUGAAAUGGAUCAGAUGAAAAGAAACAUUGACAGAUAAGUAAAUGGUCUUUAAGAAAGAAAACAGCUGAAUGAGAAUUUUGAGGAUUGGAUCAUAAUAGUUAAACAGGAAUCAUUGAAGCUUAGGUCUCCGAAAUGUAGGAGGGAGAAAAUUCAGUGAAGUGAGAAGUGAAAAUGAGACGAGAAAGAAAGAAUAAAAGAAACAGAAAUGAGAGUGAAAGAAGAAAACAGCACAAGUCAAUAAAAGAGGAAGAAAAAAACCCCAACUAAAUGGGACACGAAAACUGAAAAACAAAACUGAGAGACCCAAUAUUGAAAGUAGAAAUAAGAGAUGCAGCGAAACAUUAGAUUUUAAAAAAUGAAAUGAAAUAACUGCCAGCGAAAGAAUGAUAACGUAAGUAAUGAGCGAAUGGAAAUAAGAAGGCAGGAGAAACAAAGGGGAGGAAGUAAUUGGGAAGAGAAAGAAAGAUAGAAAUACUGACAGAGAGGGAGUGAUGAAAGAGGGCAAGGGAAAUGAUGAUAAAAAGUGAUAACGAGUUAAUAGAAGAAUAAAGUGGAGAGAGAAAGAGAGAGAGAGAUAGAAUGGCCGAAAAGAGACGUAUGUUAGAGAAAGAGAAAGAAAAAAACCCAAGAGAAAUGAGAGUAAGAUAAAGAAAGAAAAGAAGCUAAAUUAAAGAGAGGAUACACCGAAAGAGAAAUAUGAACAUGAGAGACAAAAAGGAAAGAGAAAUGAAAGAAGAAUUACAGAACACAAUAGAAAAGAGCACUUCAAUUACGAAGAAAAAGAAUAAGAUUAAUAGAGAAGUUAAAGGGAAAGAACAAUAAAGGGGGUCAGAGAGAGAGAGAGAGAGAGUAAAAUACAUUUAAAAAAAAAAUCAAUCAGAUUAAAGAUAGGAAAGAUGAUUAGUGAUAGAAGUGAUGAAUAAAGAAGCAAAGUGUGAGACAGAUCAAAAUGUGAGGAGUGUAUAUGUAUCCACAACCUACAACCCACCCAUAGUAAGAUUGAACAGCCUCUGCAAUUUAGUCAUAAGAGAACUAAUACUCUUCACUUAACUUUCGUUUUCUAUCUCUCUUUUUAUGUUUGUGGGUAAGGAGAGAGAGAAAGAGAGAGAGAGCUUCAUAUUCUCUAUUAUCUUCACCCCAAAAAGCGAAAAUAAAAAUAAAAAAAUAUAUCGAGAGAAAGGAAAGAGUUAAAUAGUCUUCAAAAUUUAAGAAUGCACUAUUAUUAUUGUUGCAAUUAUUGAAAGAGAUGUCACUAUCAAAACAAAAAUCACACCAAAAUAAUAACAUCAGUGUUGAUAGCUAAACUAACAUCAAUAACUACAAUAACAACGAAAUGCCAACUAGCUAAAGAGAGAGAGAAGGGGUUGUUGAGUGUGAGGGAGACUGGGUGAGUGAGAGAGCGACUGAAUGAUUGAGUAAAAGCGAGAGAGAUAGAUAAAUCGUAUAGAGUAGUUAACUCGAUCAUAUACGAAGAACAGACUCUAACGGCUGGCUUGAUUUGCAAUGGUUCCUGUUGAUGUUGUUGCUGUUGUAGUGGUUUCUCUUUCUUUUUCUUCGCCGUCGUAUACAUCGUCAUCGCUGAAGGAUUACUCUAUUGGAUGAUAUGAAUUCUUUGGCAGGUAGGUAAAUGAAUUUGAUUAGGGAUAACUGUUUGACAGUCACUUAAGGUCUGUCGCACAUACAUCUCCGACACAUACGCCUGUCUUUCAAGCCUUUUGUCUCUUCCUCACCCCUCUUUCCUCCCAAUAAACUGUCAAUCUGCUACAAUUGAAUUUUCUGAGCUUUAGUGAUUCUCAUCUUUAUCAAACCGUCCGACAAGCUAUUGACAUAACCAAGCUGCAAGUGUCUUGUUUCCAUCAACUAGAACAUGCUGCUAUCUGUCACAUAAGAACGAACUAUGCACGACCACAAUAAAACGCACGAACACAACUGGUGUGUUUUUGCCAAUCUUUGUUUAAAAUUCUCCAAAAUGUAUUUACCAUGUUUUUUUAACACUUUGUCCUGUUCAGACAAACAUCACUUGACUCAGUUUACUAGUGAUUAUAACGAUAAUAAUAGUAGUGGUGAUGAGUAGCAAGUCAACGAUGUAACUCCGGAGAUAAUGUUCACGCUAAUGAUGAAAACAAUAAUAUAUUACCUCUCUAGAUUGCAAUAGUGUUUUGACACACGUGUCAUAUACACAAAUAUGCAUAAGCAUACGAACAGACGAACGAAUGCAUUCAAACGCAUAUUUGCGUGGUGCGUGCGUAGUGUGUGCACUUAUGUAUUUUAAAAACACUCGUAUAUUUCAAUGGGAAAAAAAUCCGGCAGUGAGACUUUCGAUAUAUUUCAUGCAUAUUGCCAAUGAAAGAUCCCACUCUGACACGCACACAGAUUUAUAUAUAUAUCAUCACCAUCUCUCCCCCUCCCCUAUAUAUGUAUAUAUAUAUACAAACGUAUACAAGCAUAUAGAAGUAUAUUAUAUAAGCAUAUAUAUUUAUAUAUAUAUAUAUGUGGUGUAUUAAAAAAACACACACGCACACUCAUAAAUAUAUGCAUAAAUACGAGUAUGUAUGCUCAUAUAUAUGCAUAUAUAUAUAUAUAUAUAUAUAUAUAUAUAUAUACGUGUGUAUAAAUAUAACCAUGCCCAUGCUGUAUACAUAUAUAGGCAUAUUUAUAAAGAUAGCUAGCUAGAUAGAUAUAUAGACAUACAAUGUAAAUGUAUGCCUUCACACACAUACAUAUAUGUAUAUAUGUUUGUGUAUACAUAUAUAACUAUGUGAAUGAUGUAUAAAAAUAGGCAAAUAUCUGUAUAUAUGUGUAUGCGUGUGUGUGUUUGUGUAUAUACAUACAUACAUACAUAUAUAUAAUAUAUAUAUAUAUAUAUAUAUAUAUAUAUAUAUACACGUUUGCAUAUGUGUGUUUAUAUAUUUACUCCUUAUAGAUGUGUUUAUAUGCAUAUGUUUGUAUGUAAAUAUAUAUAUUGAUAAUUACAUAUCUAUACCUACGUAUAUGUGUGUAUGCGUGUGUGCGUAUGGUCAAAUACUUAAAAAGUUCAUAUCACAGUCGCAGUGUAUCUUUGAUGCCACUGCAUUGCAUGUUGGGCAAGUGUCUUUUAUCAUCGUCUUGUAUUGACUCAAACCUUGUGAGUGAAAAUGGGUAGACAGAUUGUCUACCCUUUGUCACAGUUCAAACUUUGCCACACAUCAUGUCAUGCUUUUUCAACCUGAUGAUUUCGUUGAUGGCUCAUGUACUUGUGGAAUGCACACCUACUUACAUGCUAAUUCAAUCAGUAAGGAAUUCAGUCCUUUGAUAAAUUGAAUUCUCAUCUCACAACCCGUGGAAAUUGAUUUAUACAUCAUCAUCAUCAUUAUCGUUUUAACAUCUACUUUCCAUGCUUGUUUGGGUCAGAUGCAAUAUGUGGCAUAGAUUUUUAUGGACGGAUGCCCUCCUUUCACAAACCAACCACCACUCGUUUUCAAGCAAGAUAAUAUUUCACCACUGUCAGGCAGGUUUUCACUGAAGAUUGGAAAUGAACAAUACUGCUUGUAUGAUGGUGGUGCUUGUUUACAACAAUAACGUGAUUUUAAGAUAAAGAGACACAAUCACACACAUAUAUACAUAUCAUCAUCCUCAUCAUCAUUUAACGUCCGUUUUUCAUGCUAGCAUGGGUUGGACAGUUCAACCGGGGCCUGGGAAGACAGGAGGCUGCACCAGGCUUCACUCUGAUCUGGCAAUGUUUCCACAGCUGGAUGCCCUUCCUAACGCCAACCACUCCGUGAGUGUAGUGGGUGCUUUUUACGUGCCACCGGCACAGGGGCCAGAGAAGGCUUGCAACGUCCAUGAUCGGUUGGUGCUUUUUACAUGCCACAGGCACCGACGCCAGUCAAGGCAGCACUAGCAUCGGCCAUGUUCAGAUGGUGUUUUUUUACAUGCCACCAGCAUGAUUAUCACAACUACAAUUUCCAUUUCAUUUUUAUUUUGAUGUUGAUGUACUUGACUCAAUAGGUCUCAUUAAGCACAGCAGGUCGCCCUACAAUCCAAGGUAAGCACGGCCGGCCGUCCUGCGAGCCAUGAACUCACUUUAUUUGUCGGGUCUUCGCAGUCACAGCAUAUCUCCAGAGGUCUUAGUCUUUCAUCAUUGUCUCUGUGAGGCCUAACGUUCGAAGGUCAUGCUUGACCACCUCAUCCCAUGUCUUCCUGGGUCUAUCUCUACCCCAGAUUUCUUCAACUGUUUGGGAGUGGCACACACAUAUACAUACAUAAGUACAUGUGUAUGUGUGUGCGUGUUCAUCAUCAUCAUUGUUUAAUGUCUCUUUUUUCAUGCUAGCAUAGGUUGAAUUGUUUGGCAUAAACUGACAAAUCAGAGGACUGUACUGAGUUCCAGUGUCUGAUUUAGCAUGGUUUCUACAGCUUGAUGCCUUUCUUAAUGCCAAUCACUUCACAGUGUGUUGUUGUUUUUUUCCUUCUCGAGCCUUGCCUGGCUCAUAAGGGCUGGUUUCCCACUUUCAUUGGCAUAUAGGUUCCCCACCUGGAUGGAAUGCUGGUCUGUCACUGGUGAGCUGCUUGAUACAGGAGGAAAGAGUGAGAGAAAGUUGUGGCAAAAGACUCAGCAGAAGUUCGCCAUUAUCUUCUGCAGGAGCCAUGUGGAGCUUAGGUCUUUCACUCAUAAGCACACACAUCACUUGGUUCGAACCCGCAAUCACUCGACUGUGAGUCUGCUGCUCUAACCACUAGGCCAUGUGCCUCCACUCUUCCCAGUGUACUGGGUGCUUUUUUUCAUGGCACCAGCAAGACAAGCUCCCUCAACUGAGGGAGAUAUAGUUUUGAGGGAUAUAAAAGUAUUAUAGAAGGAGAGGACAAGAGUCUUGCUGAAAAGGUGAAUACAUAGCUUCCCCAUCAAGAAAGAAAGAGAGAGAGAGAGAGAUGUGAGGUCAAGGUACAAGGUGAAUAUGAGGGAUAGAAAUAGGAUAGAAGAGCAGGAAUGUUGGGUAACUAUGUAAGUGGGCUACAGUGAAAUUAAUAUGAGAGAUGAUUAGAGAUGGAUAUUGCGUUGGAUGCAAGGAGAGGAAAUGAAGGAAAGGAAAUAACAAGGAGGAGGAAGUGACAAAAGAUUGUAGUAGGAUUAUAAUAAGAGGAUAAGUGGUAUCACUUACAACAUCUGAGUGAGUAGUGUCACAGAUGAUUGAUGGAGGGAUGGAGAAGAUAAGUUGUGGGAUGAUGGAAGAUUUGACAGGACCUCAGCAUUACUGAGAUGAAUGGGUCUCCUCAAGCACAAUACAGUACCAUUUGUCUCGGUUUCCCAUUAUCUCUUCCAAGAAGCUCAACAUCUUAUGGUCAGCUUCUACCACUUCAUCCCACAUCUUCCUGAGUUGCCCUCUUCCACAUUUAGCAAUUGGCUUGUCUUUAUACAACUGUCCUCAUCCAUCUUCAUCAUAUGACCAUAGCAGCAGUCUUCUCUCCUGCUCACCAUAUCUGAUGCCUCUUAUGCCCAAUUUUUCUCUCGUGUCUUCUGUCCUACAUGCACAUUGAUGUUGCACACCCAGUGGAGUAUGAUACCUUCAUUCCUUUCUAGUCUCCACAUGUUCUCUGCAUUAACAACCCAAAUUUAACUACUAUUUAACAUUGUUGUUUGUACACAGGCAUUGUACAAUCUGCCCUUCACUCUGAGAGAGAGGUGCCUUUUGUUAUCAACAGAGGUAAUAGUUCUCUGAACUUUCUUCAAACAUUGCUUAUUUUAGCAACUAUACUUUCAGCACAUCUCUCCCCACUGCUAAUUAAAUCACCUAAGUAACAGAAACUAUCUACUACCUCUAAGGAUCAUCUUGGAUGUUCCAGAAAAUUUACUAUAUACUUUUGGUGUUUAUUGCAUCUGUGCACCUGCCACAAAUAAUAUCUACUGUCUCUCUUAACCUUCCUGUGAUUCCACUACACCUCUUACGUGUUCAUAGUUAGCGCUGUGUAUAGCAUAUAGAAUUUCUACCAACACUCUUUCUACAUAUUGAACAGGGUCAUUUAUCUGAGCGAUUAACACUCUGUCUAUUUUCCUGCUAACUAGAACUUUGGUCUUUCCUAAGUUAACUUCAAGGCCUUUACUCCAGGUUUGUUUCCACACAUGGAAUUUCAUUUCUAAUUCUGCUACAGUUUCAGCUGUGAGAACAAGUUCAUCAGCAUAGAGGAGUUCCCAUGGCCAGUCCAUCUAAGCCUCCUCUAUUAUGACAGGAGGACUAUGAUAACUAAGAGGAAACAGAUAACCGAACCUUUAUGAACUCCUACCUGCACACUAGAUUUAUUACUAUAUGCAUUUUUAACACUCAUCUUAAGGACAGCAUCCUUAUAAAUUGUUUGUUUAAACACCUCUCACUAGCCAUUUAUCUACUUCUAGCUUCUGAAGUAACCUCACAAUUAGGGAGCAAGGCAUCCUUUCCAGUUCAGUGAAUGCCAAGUAUAGUGGUUUACGUUUUGCUAAAUUCUUCUCCUGCAGUUGCUGAACUCUGAAGAAAUCAUCCCUUUGGCUCAAAACCAAACUGCAUCUAAUCUAGGUUAAACUUCUUCCUAAUUAAUUAAGCUUGACUCUUUUGAUGACUUUCAUAAGCUGGUCCAGUAAUAUGAUACCUCUGUUAUUACUUCUCACUAAGGUAUCUCCUUUACCCUACUAACAGUUGACUAUGAUGAUAUUACAUGAGUCACUUAGUAUGAUAGCUUCCUGUACAACAUAAUGAACUGUAUGGGUGACUAGGCUGUAUCAUACUCUACCAGAUAUUUUAAACAUUUCAGCAGUAAUCCCUGAUGGACCAGAAACAUUCUGUGUCUUCACAUUUUGAUUGCUUUGUCUAUCACACUGCUAUUAUCAAGAAUGGCUGAACCUUCUGUUUGAUUCACAUUAGAAUGACUCUCUUUCUCCACAUUUAGUAGCUUUUCAUAAUAACAUUUCCAUGUCUCUUUUCAGAAUCACUGAGUGUGAGUGUGCCAUUAUCCUUCUCCACACACUUCUCUCCCACAACAUCUUGAUUUUCUCUGAUACACUGCCCUAUAAUCCAGGACACCUAUGCCUUCAGUCCACAUGACAUAGAACAUUGGCACACCUCUUCUUUUCUGCUUCUCCUUUUGCUAAAUAUACCUGUCUCUUAGUUUUUAAUUUCUCUUCUAAUUGCCUGAUAUACUUCUCUGUGCUCCCAUAUUUCCAAACCUUCCAAGCCUGCCUUUUAUCUUUUAUGGCUCUAUCUAUUUCACUGCUCCUCUGCCAUGUCACCUUUGGUUUGGCUGUAACUGUGCAUCAGCCACGAAUUUGAAUGUUGCCCUCAAUAGGUUGUCCAGAAGGAACUUUCAGUUCUCAACAUAAGUCUCUGUCUCUUCUUCCUUGUCAAAUGCUUCAAUUAGUAUAUCUCUAAAUUUCUGACUGUUCAUUGAACCUUUUAAGUGUCCAUAAGUUCCUUUUACAGACUGGUUUGCAUUUCUGAGUCCUUUUAACCCUAAGUUUGAAGUCACUACCCACUUAACUAUGUUGUUCUGUACACUCCUCACCUGGGGAAAGACUUUGCAUUCACAGCAUCCGCCUAUCCCAUUUUCUAGUGAGAAUGUAAUCAAUCUGGCUAAUUAUUUUUCACGUAUUUUUGUCAGGCCUCACAUAAUCUACUUUCAGAUUUCAUAUCUCACUAUUGUACAACAGAGGAAAAUUUCUUUUCUACUCGUUUCUUACUCUUGCUACAGUCCACUCAGUAUGACCACCUCUAACACUCAGUUGAUCAUAAACUACUACAUCUGAUGUGCAUGGUUUUCAUUUCAUAGUUGCAAUUUCUAUUAACUAUUCCUGUAAUCUGUUACAUUGGAUGCCCUGAUUUUUCUGUCAGUCUGCCAAAAAUGCUAUUGCAUCUUUUGUGUACCUAUUGCUUGCACUUAGCAUGCAUUAUUGAGCUUUUACUUACUUCUUCCUACAGAGUGAAAAAGGCCAUUUACCAGAUAAGUCUUGAGUAUCGUGAUCUUGUUUACAAAAUUUGAUCUUUAAUAUGUCAGCCUUUAAUCCUUUGAACAUAAGUUCAUUCUUUCAGGUUUGGAACAUUUCUUUCAACUCUUUGACAGAUUCUUCAAGGGUAUAUAAAGUAAGGAUCUAAUAUUGCAAAAGUUUAAGGAUCAAGAAUGAUCAUGGAAUCCAAUCAGUUAGUCAUCUAUACAUUGUUGCUAUCUUAAUAAUAUGCAUCUGGAAUGAUGCAUAAUUACUCAUGUGGAUUUCCAGGUCUUGCAUUGGCUCUAACUCCAGAACUGCAAUAUAUUCCACCCCCAACUCAGUUCUGUGUAUUCUGAUUACAAUCUGUACCUUAUUAUGUACCUUAUUUAUAUAUUAUGUACCUUAUUUUGUACCUUAUUUAUAUAUAAAUUGCCAAGAAGGCUGAGGGUGUCUUGGCAUCACUCACCAAGUCCUUUGUGAGCUGCUCUCCGGCUAUCUAUUUGCGGCUUUAUAUAGCUAUGGUGCGACCUCACCUGGAAUUUGCAUCACCAGUCUGGAACCCCUAUCUUGCCCAAGAUAUUAAUCGUCUGGAAGCCGUUGAGCGACAUGCAACCAAGAGAAUACCCCCCCCCCCCAUCAGGCAUUUGCCAUAUUCUGAACACCUUACUUCCCUGAGCAUGGAUACAUUAAAACUCCGACGUCUGGCAGCUGACUUGGCAGACACCCAUAAAAUUAUUAACCAUCUUACAAACAAUAACUCUGAGCACCUUUUCAAACAGCACCUGUCUAACACCCGUGGACAUGUUUACAAAGUCAGAAAACAGCACAGCUCCCAUGACUUUUGGAAACAUUUUUUCAUGCUAAGUAUGGAACAAACUGCCGGCAUCAGUUGUUAGCUGUCGGGGCAUUGCAUCCUUCAAAACUUCCAUGCUUCCUGAGAUUCGCCAACACUACAUCUGAUUUUCUCCCCUCCAUACACACGCAAGCAUGUAUCUGACUCAUACACUGUUCACUUUCCAGACUUUUGUACAUUACUGCAUAUGCUUUAUACACAUUUUUGACAAGUUGCAGUGCACCUGAGCACUGUAUACAAUAAUUUCAUUAUUAUUAUUACUACAAUUAGCCGUCAUUUUUGAUGGCACGGGGCCAGCUUGUAUUUGUAUAACUCGGCUCAUUAGUUUAGGAUUUCUCUGACUGUUCUUCUCCAGUGCAUUUUGUUGCAGUUGUAACAGUUUGCAAAGAUACUCUGAGUUACUAAAUUAGACAUAACACCUUCCUGCACUGCUUGAUUAAUUUAGUCUCACAAUUUAGUACUCACAAUGCAUUUAUAAAGCCUGAUGCUUCUAGCUUCUUGUUUUGAUACCAUGGUGGUUCUGCAGUUGUCCCUACCUUCAUUCUCUAAUUACUUUAAUGACUCUGCUUAAACCAGCCUUUAUAGCUGUUUUUAUUUUUCUCUCCCAUUUCAACUCAUGUUCUCACAAAUCCAUCCAUAUUCCUUAUAUUCAAGAACUUUUCAUAGCAACACUCUCAAAAUGUUAUCUUCUCACUUUGACAGAAGGAAAAUGUUCUUAUGUUGUUUCAGACAUAUUUCUCAUCAAUAACAUACCAAUUCAUGCAGAGAAGUUUUUGAAAUGCAGAAUACUUGAUAUCAUUCAUUUUGAUGGCACAAAAUAUUAACAAUCCCAAACUUCUUUCCAGACAAAAGAAAUUUGAUAAUUUGCUUUUCUACUGUUACUCAUUGCCUCCUUCUUUUUUUCAAGCUUUUCCCGAAAUUUUUUUAGUGUUGUUCACUACACUAGUCCUCUAUAGUUUUAUUCCAUGCUCAUAUUAGUUGCUUACUGUAAGUUGUCUCUCAGGAACCUCUAGUUUACUUCUGUGUUCUAAUCUUCCAUCUCUGUUUUCCUAAGUAAACAUCUGGCUACAUCUAAAUAAUAAUUGUUGUUUAAACUUAGGUUAACUUUGACUGAACAGACCUCUGAUCAAAAGCUUCCAAUCUUGGCUAUUUCAGCUGUGAUUUGUGAUCAAAGGCAUUCCACCCAUGGCCAUUCUAUUAUUUUUUUAGACAACGGUAUAUGGGAUUACAUCAUCUGAAGUGUUUCCCAAGACAACAAAGUGUAAUUUGAGGGAGAUUUAGUUACUAUUUUUAAUGGGCCAACUGAUUGCUUAACAGCUCCCUCAUUGACUCAUUGGCACAUUAUCCCUUAUCUCAUGAGCUUUAAACUUUCCUAUCUUCCUUUUCCUUUUUGAAAUCCAGAGUGUAUCAAAGUAUUCUAUUCCCAUUAAUAUCCACUCUUUUAGGCAUUGGCUAAAACUUCAAUUGUAGACAAAUAUAUUCUUGGACUUUCUCAAUACAAUUACUGAAGUUGUUAGUUAUCAGAAUGAUAUUACUUUCAUCUUAUGUUUAUUGUUGUUAUUGUUCAGCUUUAGGUCAAACCCACUUGAGUGGAUCUAUUAGCUUAGGUAUUCCAGACAUGGCCAUCCUGUCUAUUAUUCAAACAUAGUUUGAAUAAUAGUCAGGACAUAUUUUUUCUAGCAGACUGAGUAACCAUACAGAGAUUCUUUCUUCAGCUUGGACUCCUUCAAUGUUGUUUCAGGUAGCAGUAGCAGCAGCAGCAGCAGCAGUAAUUGCAGCAGCAGCAGUAGCAGCAACAAUAUUAGCAUUAGUAGUAUCCACUAUGUCCUUCCAUUUUUUUAAGAUGGUAAAGUGGAACUUGACAGAGAUUUGUUGACUAUUUCUAGCAGUACGAGCAAUUGCAUAAAAGUUCACAUAUUUGCUCUAAAUGUAGUAAUUUCCUUAGGUAGCUUUUACCAGAGCCUCAUAGAACUUUCUCUUACUCACUUGUUAACUUUCUUUUGGUGGAUGUAAGCCCAGGAAGCAGAUGGUGUUACAUUACCAGUCAUUGAACUGAAUUUAAUUAUUCUUUCACUUAGCCUAACUAUUUAUGACUCCAUCUAACAUUUCUGCUAAGAUUAUACCCAAACUACUCAUACAGGACACAUUAGUUAUCUAAAAGAAACAUAAUAAUGACAGUUUCAAAUUUUGGCACAACGCCAGCAAUUUUGGGAGGAAAAGUAAGUCACUUAUAUCAACCCCAGUGCUCAACUGGGACUUAAUUUAUCGACCCUGACAAGAUGAAAAGCAAAGUCAACCUUGGCAGAAUUUGAACUCAGAACAUAAGGACUGACAAAAUGCCGCUAAGCAUUUUGUCUAGUGUGCUAAUGAUUCUGCUGGCAUAGCUGUAUGGUAAGAAGCUUGCUUCCCAACCACAUGAUUCUGGGUUCAGUCUCACUGCAUGGCACCUUGGGCAAGUGUCUUCUACUAUAGUCUCUGUGAGUGGAUUUGGUAGAUGGAAAUCGAAAGAAGCCUGUCAUGUGUGUGUGUGUUUGUCCCUUCAUCACUGUUUGACAACCGAUGUUGGUGUAUUUACAUCCUCCAUAAUGUAGUGAUUCUGCGAAAAAGAUCUGUAGAAUAAGAAGUACUAGGCUUAAGAAACAAGUCCUGAGGUCGAUUUUCUCAGCUAAAACACUCCAAGGCGGUGUUCCAGCAUGGCCACAGUCAAAUGAUUGAAACAAGUAAAAGGAUAAAGGUAAUUAUGAACCAGAAUCCUUGUCUGGGAUCAGAUCGAUCUCAAAAUCUAAUCAGCUCAUGUCAGUCAUGAGGCCAAACAUCCCUGAAAGUUUGAUCUUAAUCCAUCCAGCGGUUCUUAAGAUAUCUUGUCCACAGAUAAACAAGCAAACAUGACUGUAAACAAUACCUCCACCUCUGCUUAGGUGGAGGUAAUAAAUAACUGUGGAUUCCUUUGUGCUGUUCUCCUUUCAGGACAGAAGGAUGUGGUUUAACCCUUUAGCAUUUAAACCGGCCAUAUCCGGCCAAAAGUAUUCUGCCUGUUUUAUGUUCAAACUGGCCAGAUCUGGUCUCUCACACCAGCCCUACAAUAUCGUUUUAAAAAUUAACAGCUACCUCAUCAAAAUCUCAUAGCUACAAGAUAAUGCAUGAUUAGCUCAAAACAAUGUAGAUGAAAAAGCAUUAAUUUUGGCAGAAUAAUGAAAACACUAAAGGGUUAAGGAAAAUUUGGCUUCUAUUUCUAUCAGGCUAAGUGACUGUAGAAGCUCCCUAUAAAGGGAAAAAUUCUGGCUGGUGGUGAUGGUAAUUAUUUUGAGAUUGAUGGCUUGAUGUGACAGUUGUUCAAGUCUGAUACCACCAAUAACAUGACAGAUUUUACACCUUUAUAAAUUAUACAGCAGGUGUUACAAUUCUAUCUGCUAUACUUCAUUAUUAUUCAUCCAUAGAAUUAGAACAAUUAAAAUAGACUGCAUGCAUUUAUUGUGGAACUAGAAGCUGUCUUGAAAAAUGAAGAGCUCCUUUACUAAGACAAGGUGUAAGAUUUUAAGGAAACUCUCAGAUCAGGUUCCCCACCUCUCCCCCCAAAAAAAUCAGACUCAAAGAAAAAUCUCAGAUUAUGAAAACAUCAAGUUUAAAUAGAAAUAUAAUGGUAUUUUGCUCACUUUUUUAUGAAGAUGACAAUGAUUAUUUCUUUUCUUCAAUUUCACUUGAAAGAGUAAGUCAUUCACUAUUUUCUUUUUGUUCUUUUUGUUUUUAAAAAAUUGAUUCCAACUAUCUUUUGCUUAAAGCAUCUUCUAGGUUCUCAUGCAGUGUAUUCCAUAUUAUUUCCAGUAAAAGAUUGGUUUGCAAGUAAUCUGUAUUUGCUUUUUAAAGAUUUGGCAUUUUUUUUUUUUGACAGUUCAUUUGAAUUUUGUGUCUUUUAACUUAUACCAGUAUUCAGGAAUAUUUUCUCCUGAAAUUGUGAAAUUGUCAAGAAUAAUUCCUCCAGUGGUCAAAGUUAAUCAUACUGGUUUCUGAUGCAACAGAUAGGAUGAAAUGUAACUUCUUUCUUACUGGGAUGCAACAUUUUAUUAGGAAUUUAAAACAAUUAGUUCUAAUGCUCAUUUAUCUCCAACAGCUAAUUAAUUAAAUGUGUUGUUGCCUUUUUUUACUCAAGGUAAAUAUAAUUUAUGCUUUUAUAAUUACUUUCAUUGCUUGGAUCAAUUUCUGAUAGUAUAAUGUUCAUUCAUUUUUUAAUACAGAAAUUUGGGAGAGUUUUGUAUUUUGAUGGUAUUAAGUACAGACAAUGUGACCUGAAACACAGACAACGUGACCUGAAAUGCUCAGAUUGAAAUUCAGCAUUCAAUAAAUUAGCUUUCUGUUGUGCAUACUGAAGGAAAAGUAGCAUGUGUUUAGUUCUGCAUUUGCUUAAUGUGUCAAGCUCUCCUGGCACCAUCAUCUUUCAAUUCAUUUUAGAAAUAAAGAAGUAAAGCAUUGAAUUGUUGUAUUAUCACAGGAACAAUUGCUUCUUGAGAAAGCUAUCUUGUUUGUUCAAGCUUAGACAUUUUGUGACAAGUUGUCACAAUCUUUUCCUAUAUAAGUUUGAAGUAUUGUUUCUUGUUACUGCAAGAUAAGUAAAGUGUUAAAUCUUUUAAGAGAGAUUCUAAAUAUGAGGGCAAUAUGCUGACAUCAUGAUUAGUGCAAACUAAAAGAAUGCUAGUUGCAUUCCAUAAUAAAAACAGAUGGCACAUCAUCUCUCAAUAAUUUAUGAAACCCAUUUUUGGUGCCCAUCAUUGAGGAACAUUUAUUGCUUGUGAAUCCAGUAGUUUCUGAAGGAAUAUUUCUUUCUCACAAAAUAGAUUUGACAGCAUUGUAACAUUCAAGAGCCAUUCUAUUUUCAACAACCAUGCAUCUAUGAUAUCAAAGUUUCUCACAACUGUAGCUUAAAUUUGGGUAACUGAAAUAUCUGUACUUUCAUCAGUUAUGAUAGCAAACUUUUGUAUCUUGCGGAUAUCCAUUAGCACUAUUUUUUCAUGAAUGGCACUUCCAUUUUGAAUAACAUAUCAAUGUUUUGUUCAUUUCAUUGAUAAUUUUUCAGGAAUAUUGCCGUCCAGAAAUACUC
rnacentral:lncRNA from 1 species